rnacentral:rRNA from 1 species
GCAGUCGAGGGGUAUUGGUUUUCGGACCAAGAGACCGGCGCACGGGUGCGUAACGCGUAUGCAAUCUACCUUUCACAGAGGGAUAGCCCAGAGAAAUUUGGAUUAAUACCUCAUAGUAUGCAGAGUUGGCAUCAACCCUGCAUUAAAGUCACAACGGUGAAAGAUGAGCAUGCGUCCCAUUAGCUAGUUGGUAAGGUAACGGCUUACCAAGGCAACGAUGGGUAGGGGUCCUGAGAGGGAGAUCCCCCACACUGGUACUGAGACACGGACCAGACUCCUACGGGAGGCAGCAGUGAGGAAUAUUGGACAAUGGGCGCAAGCCUGAUCCAGCCAUGCCGCGUGCAGGAUGACGGUCCUAUGGAUUGUAAACUGCUUUUGUACGAGAAGAAACACUCCUUCGUGAAGGAGCUUGACGGUAUCGUAAGAAUAAGGAUCGGCUAACUCCGUGCCAGCAGCCGCGGUAAUACGGAGGAUCCAAGCGUUAUCCGGAAUCAUUGGGUUUAAAGGGUCCGUAGGCGGUUUAGUAAGUCAGUGGUGAAAGCCCAUCGCUCAACGGUGGAACGGCCAUUGAUACUGCUAGACUUGAAUUAUUAGGAAGUAACUAGAAUAUGUAGUGUAGCGGUGAAAUGCUUAGAGAUUACAUGGAAUACCAAUUGCGAAGGCAGGUUACUACUAAUGGAUUGACGCUGAUGGACGAAAGCGUGGGUAGCGAACAGGAUUAGAUACCCUGGUAGUCCACGCCGUAAACGAUGGAUACUAGCUGUUGGGAGCGAUCUCAGUGGCUAAGCGAAAGUGAUAAGUAUCCCACCUGGGGAGUACGUUCGCAA